GUACUCCGCAUCGGCACAUCCAUCUCGGUUGGCUCCGGGGCCUCGACCCUGUUCUGGUUUAACCGUUGGCUAGGGGACUUCCCCCUGGCUGCGUGAUUCCCAGAACUCUUUGCAAUUGCGUCCGACCCUCGGGUCUCUGUCGAGACGGCCCUUAUUGACUUAGGGCGUCUCGCCUUCCGGCGCCCAUUUGGCCCCCUCGAGAUGGCUGCUUGGGACUCCCUCCUCCAAGACAUCGCCCUUAUGUCGAUGAACAUCGAGGAGGACCGGGAUGCCCUUUCCUGGCGCCUUGAGCCGCCUGGCCGUUUCUCCACGAAGUCCCUGUACGCCGCCAUUGCGCCCUCGGCGGCCCCGGAACCCUUUAGCCUGAUCUGGGACAUCCGCCUACCUCUGAAGAUCAGGAUUUUCCUGUGGCAAUGGAUCCGUGGA
rnacentral:rRNA from 1 species